rnacentral:rRNA from 1 species
CCUACGGGCGGCUGCAGUGGGGAAUAUUGCGCAAUGGGCGAAAGCCUGACGCAGCGACGCCGCGUGAGGGAUGAAGGCCUUCGGAUUGUUAAACUCUGUCAGCAGGGAAGAACGGUCACUGUGCUAAUCAUCUGUGAAUUGACGGUACCUGCAAAGGAAGCACCGGCUAACUCCGUGCCAGCAGCCGCGGUAAUACGGAGGGUGCGAGCGUUAAUCGGAAUUACUGGGCGUAAAGCGAUCGUAGGCGGUAUGUCAAGUCAAGGGUGAAAUCCCCGCGCUCAACGUGGGAACUGCCUUUGAUACUGGCAGACUGGAGUGUGUGAGAGGAUAGUGGAAUUCCAGGUGUAGGAGUGAAAUGCGUAGAUAUCGGGAGGAACAUCAGUGGCGAAGGCGACUAUCUGGCACAUGACUGACGCUGAGGAGCGAAAGCGUGGGUAGCAAACAGGAUUAGAUACCCUAGUAGUC